GCCAAAUGUUGCUUCUUUUCAGUUAUAUGGGUAAAACCAAAAACAUUUGCAUCUAGCUACACCAAUGUCUCAUAUAAACAAUGAUUCCUCCUUCAUCUUCACAUUUGUUUCCCUUGAUUUUUCACCUUCCAACCAUAAAAUUGAUCAUUUACAAAGCUUAUAUGCUCUUCUUGCUCUCAUGAAACCGAUCCUGAGUACAGAAAAGGGAACAUUUGCAUGCAUAAUGAUAGUUUUCUGUGUUGUUAACUUGCAUCAAUCUUCUUAUUUCUUGACUUGAAGGUUUGGUGUUGAGUCCAGUUCAUGGUAUGCAGCCUUGGACUUCAUGGCUAGUGAGGAUGUUGAUGAGGUAGAUAAGGAUGUGGGAGAGGAACUUCUCGUCUUCUUUUUCGUUUUCACUUUCUUGGGAAUAUUUGGAAGAUCUGAAGAUGGAAUGUUACUGAAUGAAUUGGAAAUGGGUUGAUUUCCAAUAGAUUGAUCAAAAUCUGUUGUAAGAAAUCAAAGUAAAAUGAGGAAAUUUGCUCAAACCACUAAAACAGAAUAAAUUGGCUGCACCAACACAAAAAUUUAUCAUCAAUGGAAACAAAGGGAAUGAAUAUCAUCCAAGAAUCCUGUUAGAACUACAGUAGCAUUUGGUGCAUAAUAGAAACAUUCUGUUUUUAAUAAAUUCUGAAUCUCCAAUGUACCCAAUAAGAAAAAAUUCAGUUUAGUAGCUAUUAGCCAGUACAAUUCUAGCUUUCUCUCUUUGUUUUUUUCAACUCUUCUCUCUUUCUCAUAGACAUCUCUCUGUCAAAUUUCCCUCAUUUCUCAAAAAACAAACAUUGAAGUUAGGCCUAAGGAUUUCAAGUUUAAUAGGAAUAGCAGCUGCAGCUGCAGCUGCAGGGACAACUAUUACAUAAGAGGGAGAAAAUAUGCACAAGAUUACCAGCAUGGAGAGGUAAUGCUAGCCAUAAUUUAUUGAGAAUCACAAUUCUUCUUCUUCUUCUUCUUUGAGGGAUUGAGAAUCACAGCGACCAUAUAUAAGAAAAAGAAUGGGAAAAAUACAAAUUCUACCACCUAGGAAAAUUCUAUCUAUGGUCCACCAAAAAUUGGUUUUUUUUAGGUAAAGGCCAGAAUUUGUAGAUUCUUUCUCGUGACACAAGAGCCAAAAUCUGUCUGUUUUGAGGCAAAGAAUCUCAUAGCCUUAUGCUAUACAAUACAAUAUUACAAAUGUAGCUUCAAUAAAUUAAAACAGACAUUAAUGUACGUUUCCCUCAGCACUCAGACACAUAAAAAGAACCUAUUCAUUGUCUGAUUAUGGAACACCUCUCAUGGUAAUCAAUUAAUUUUCAAGUCUAAUUUCUAAUCACAAUACAAUAUUACAAUCCCUCCCUCAUAUCACAAAACAUCCAAGUUCAAGCAAUCUCUCCCCCAUCUAUUUUAAAAAAGUAAUAAUAAAAAGCAUUCGAUUUAGUUUGAUAAUAAGUUUAUUUCUCGACUUGGGUUAGAUAUCAAGCUCAUUUUAAUUUUUUUUAUUUCCAUUCAUUCUAAAAAUAACAAUACUAAUAAAAAAAAAUUUACCUUGAGAGGACCAUGAAGAGAAAGCAAGAGAAUUCUGAUCUCUUGCAUUACUGAGCGUUGUUGUUGCGAAAUCAGGAGGUGUUUUGAACUCAUUCAUCCAACUGGGUGCAGUUCCAGAAGGACCAUCCCAGCCUAUGUGGGCUACAUGCUUCACAUCUGUUGGAUACCCAAUUUCCAUCUCUCUCUCCUUCACCACUGCUAAAGAAAAAUAAAAUCCAUUUCCCAUAAUCUUCAGCUACCCAAUUAAGAAACCAAGACAUAAAUAAAGGAAAAAGGUUUACCAAAUAUUUGGGAGAUGAACUUGAAGCCCUUAUAGAUCCCUUUGAUCUUGGUUGCCAUGGUGGAAAAAAGUAAAAGCCAAUGCAAUAGUUCCUUCAAUGAAUGCCACAGAAGAAGAGAAAAACCAAAUGUAAGUGUAGAGAUGGUUGUUUUGCCUGCAAUAAAGCAAGAUAUAGAUAUAUUUAUUUGAUUGUGUAAUCCACUGCAUUUUACAGCAGAAGAAGUCAGGAACAGAUGCAAAAGGACAAAAAAGAACAGCAACUUAUCACAGAAGAUAAUAAAUGCAUGUGACUUAACUAUUUCCCUGUGAAUGAAGAUUGGAAUCUAUCCUUUGAAUUAAAAGAGGGGGAAAAAAGUUGCAUUGAUGUGAAAGUAGAAAAGGAAAAACCAGUUGAUUUGAAUUAAUGCCUCUAGGGAAUGGCUGGCUCUGAUGGUGUAAAGAAAUGGGAGAUUUAGAAGGGAGACAAUCUCUUCUCUCUUUCCUCCAGGCAAUGUAACAAAGCUCUAUUCUCCAUGUUUCCUCUAUGAUUCUUGAUGAAUACAGGAACAUAAAAGUAGUCUACCUGUGAAAUCAAGAGCUUGAUUUGGACUAACAGAAAAGAAAACUCAUUAAGGUAAACAAGAAAAACUCCCAAAAGGAAAGAAAUGAGAAGGAAAUAAACAGGAAGUGGGAAGCCAUGAAAAAGCCAAGACUUAAGAAUGCUGAGAAGAUAAGGAUCUAAAGAAUUGAUAAAAGAAGGUGGGGAGCCAUAAAAGGGAAAACAUGCUAAAGAGGAGGAAAACAUGGCAAGA
rnacentral:misc_RNA from 1 species